GCAAUUAGUUGAUAGUUUUAGAGAUUUAAAUUAUUCUAAAAAGAGAAAAAUUCGCGUAUUAACCCCGUAGAGACUACACGUUGAUCAUCCUUAAUUAAACAAGGGGAUGAAGAUAUAGUCCAAUGCACUUAGUAAUAAGUGG
rnacentral:autocatalytically_spliced_intron from 1 species